GAUUGUUGAAUGCAACCCUGAUUUUGUAAGGAAGAAUAUUUUUUUAUGUAGGCAAAAGCGUGUUUCCGGAAGACGUGGCUACUGCUGUAGUGGCAGCUGUUGUGAUAUCACUUCAACGUAUUAUUUUUGUUUUAAAAAAUUAAGUGUCGACUUUUACAAGCUGUCAAUCCGUUGUCAAAAUGAUCUCUCUAACGGACUCGCAGAAAAUCGGAAUGGGACUAACAGGCUUUGGGGUGUUUUUCAUCUUUUUUGGAAUGAUCCUCUUCUUUGACAAAGCCCUCCUGGCAAUAGGAAAUAUCCUGUUUGUGGCUGGACUGUCGUUUGUGAUUGGUCUGGAGAGGACAUUCCGCUUCUUCUUUCAGAAACACAAGAUGAAGGCCACUAGUUUCUUCUUGGGGGGAGUGUUUAUUGUUCUCAUUGGCUGGCCCAUUGUGGGAGUCGUCCUGGAGGUCUAUGGAUUUUUCCUUUUAUUCAGGGGUUUCUUCCCAGUGGCAGUAGGCUUCAUCAGAAGGAUACCCAUCCUGGGCUCCAUCCUAAACCUGCCCUUCAUCAGUGGGCCUUCGUAAAUAACUCUUGAGGACAAUCUGCAGUUUUGGUCAGUCCUUGCAGAUUUCCCCUUGCAUUUUGUGGACAAAGUGGGAGAGAGCAACAACAUGGUAUAACAGGGACUUUUGGUUUUAAGGAAAACAAUCUUAAUUUAUUUUACACUAGUUCUCAUAAAGCCACUUAACCCACAUUGGUCAAAUGUUGACUUCCCAACAGUUAGAGGUCAUUUUCCUGAUAAUUUGUAUAUGAAGACUUUUCUAUUAUACGGUAAAAUGGUCUGCAUUUUUGUAUUUUGAUUGGCCCACCAACCAGUCAAAUGUUCCAGUCUUGGUUGCUUUGGGACACCACAGCUGAUAAUCAUGGCUACCCAAAAAUGGUUCAUAUGUUAUUGUUGAAUACUCCUGUCUUACGCUGUAGAAUUCUCCACAUGGAGGAGAGUUACCCUAAUUGACUGAAACGAUCAAGCAUCCAUUCUGGCUCUGUUACUCUGCAAUGGAAUGUAGAGACAAACUCAACACAUCAAUGCUUCAGAAGAAAUCCUCAGUCUUCUAAGGAACUUCUGAAGAGGAGUGGAGAGCUAUCCUAGUACUGCCUUGCCAAUAAGUGUUUGCAAGUUGGCACAAACGGAUUUGAGACUAGGGUUGAGUGUGGUAACUAUGACCUGACCAGGAAAAAACUCAGGCUGAUUGAAGUUGUAUCUCUGGUCAGGUUAUUGGGAACAGUCCUGUUCGUGGUGCCUGAGCUUUAACUCUCAGUGGACUUAAACACAUGUCCUAUAGAGGAAAACAAUGCUUUACUCCCACAGCUGUUAUGAGUACCAGAUCUGGCAGUUGCAUAUGUUCCCCUUAUUCUUCUGUCAUUUGUGUGUAGGAGUGGCUAAGGAAGACUUUGGUGUGUUUUCUAAGAGCCUACUUUUGAGUGAUCAUUUUAUCAUUGUAAACAAUAUGAAUGGAGGUUACUGAAAGGAAUGGUUAUAUGGGAAAUGGUAAUGCUUUGACAAUGUUUUCCUGUGUGAACAUUUUGUAAAUACACUUCAAAACAACCUGUG